rnacentral:lncRNA from 1 species
GGUGACUCUUUUCAUGGGGCUCUGGUAUUCUCUCAACAGAGAGCUGAGAUUCCUGGAUUUAGGACUUUUUUCAGAAGAGUUAACCCUUCUAAUUACCCAGAAGAAAUGUUUCUUAGAAGUUUCUGGAAUUGGGCUUUUGAGUGCCCAGAUUUUUCUGAAAUAUUCGGGCAAGAGGAAUUGUCACUGAGUGCUUCCCUGGACAUGCUUCCCUGUCAUUAUUUUGAUAUUUCCAUGUCUGUGCUGAGUUACAGAGUUUACACUGCAGUGUAUGCUGUAGCUUGGGCACUGCAAAACAUGUUUCUAACCAGAUCUGAAAGGAGUUCAUGUGGCGUUAAAGGCAGCCCAGUGCCUACAUCUCAGAAGGUCUUGUGAGAAGCCAUGGGAAGCAUUUGAGAGAGAAACCUUUUGCCUGCUUGACUCACCUUUGGGGAGUAUCAACAUCUCAUCUUCCA